rnacentral:rRNA from 1 species
AACGAACGCUGGCGGCAUGCCUAACACAUGCAAGUCGAACGAGACCUUCGGGUCUAGUGGCGCACGGGUGCGUAACGCGUGGGAACCUGCCCUUAGGUUCGGAAUACCUCCCCGAAAGGGGUGCUAAUACCGGAUAAUGUCUUCGGACCAAAGAUUUAUCGCCUUUGGAUGGGCCCGCGUUGGAUUAGCUAGUUGGUAGGGUAAAAGCCUACCAAGGCGACGAUCCAUAGCUGGUCUGAGAGGAUGAUCAGCCACACUGGGACUGAGACACGGCCCAGACUCCUACGGGAGGCAGCAGUGGGGAAUAGUGGACAAUGGGCGAAAGCCUGAUCCAGCAAUGCCGCGUGAGUGAUGAAGGCCUUAGGGUUGUAAAGCUCUUUUACCCGGGAUGAUAAUGACAGUACCGGGAGAAUAAGCGCCGGCUAACUCCGUG